rnacentral:rRNA from 1 species
UACGAAGGGGGCUAGCGUUGCUCGGAAUCACUGGGCGUAAAGCGCACGUAGGCGGAUCGCUAAGUCAGGGGUGAAAUCCUAGAGCUCAACUCCAGAACUGCCUUUGAUACUGGCAAUCUCGAGUCCGGGAGAGGUGAGUGGAACUGCGAGUGUAGAGGUGAAAUUCGUAGAUAUUCGCAAGAACACCAGUGGCGAAGGCGGCUCACUGGCCCGGUACUGACGCUGAGGUGCGAAAGCGUGGGGAGCAAACAGG